AAAUCUUUCGGGAAUGGAAAUGAAAUGAAAGUGGCGAACGGGUGAGUAACACGUGAGCAACCUACCUUACACAGGGGGAUAGCCGUUGGAAACGACGAUUAAUACCGCAUGAGACCACAGAAUCGCAUGAUAUAGGGGUCAAAGAUUUAUCGGUGUAAGAAGGGCUCGCGUCUGAUUAGCUAGUUGGAAGGGUAAAGGCCUACCAAGGCGACGAUCAGUAGCCGGUCUGAGAGGAUGAACGGCCACAUUGGAACUGAGACACGGUCCAAACUCCUACGGGAGGCAGCAGUGGGGAAUAUUGCACAAUGGGGGGAACCCUGAUGCAGCGACGCCGCGUGAGCGAAGAAGGUUUUCGAAUCGUAAAGCUCUGUCCUAUGAGAAGAUAAUGACGGUAUCAUAGGAGGAAGCCCCGGCUAAAUACGUGCCAGCAGCCGCGGUAAUACGUAUGGGGCGAGCGUUGUCCGGAAUUAUUGGGCGUAAAGGGUACGUAGGCGGUUUUUUAAGUCAGGUGUGAAAGCGUGAGGCUUAACCUCAUUAAGCACUUGAAACUGGAAGACUUGAGUGAAGGAGAGGAAAGUGGAAUUCCUAGUGUAGCGGUGAAAUGCGUAGAUAUUAGGAGGAAUA
rnacentral:rRNA from 1 species